CACGUAGGGGGCGAGCGUUGUCCGGAAUUACUGUGCGUAAAGGGCGCGCAGGCUGUUAUGCGAGUCUGCUGUGAAAUGUACCGGCUCAACCGGUGCCUUGCGGCGGAUACUGCAUAGCUGGAGUACUGGAGAGGGAAGUGGAAUUCCCGGUGUAGCGGUGAAAUGCGUAGAUAUCGGAGGAACACCGGUGGCGAAGGCGGCUUUCUGGCCAGUUACUGACGCUCAUGCGCGAAAGCUGGGGUAGCGAACCGGAUUAGAUA
rnacentral:rRNA from 1 species